rnacentral:rRNA from 1 species
UACGUAGGGUGCAAGCGUUAAUCGGAAUUACUGGGCGUAAAGCGUGCGCAGGCGGUGAUGUAAGACAGUUGUGAAAUCCCCGGGCUCAACCUGGGAACUGCAUCUGUGACUGCAUCGCUGGAGUACGGUAGAGGGGGAUGGAAUUCCGCGUGUAGCAGUGAAAUGCGUAGAUAUGCGGAGGAACACCGAUGGCGAAGGCAAUCCCCUGGACCUGUACUGACGCUCAUGCACGAAAGCGUGGGGAGCAAACCGG